AAAUACAGUAACGAAAGGGUUAAACAAGUUUGUUAUUGUGAAACAGGGAAUUUGUGAGAGAAUUUAAUAGAUCAGUAAAUGUGAUGAUUUGAUUUCUUUAUCUCCAGAUCAAGCUUGAUUGAGGAGCACUAUGAUUGGAGACAUUCCAUCCAUGACCAUCCCAUCUUUUUAAGAGUGUCCUUCCUUAUUAGUGAAAUUAGGCAGUGAAAUUAGGCAGCUAUUUCUAGUUUGAUGAAUCACCACAUGGAGAGUUCCUUGUUGGUUCAAGAUGUGUCUCAUACAUGUGAUACACUGAUUGUUUAACCCUUUAGUGUUUAAACCGGCCAUACCAGGCCAAAAUUGUCUUCCUGUUUUAUGCUCAAACCAGCCAGCUCUGACCUCUCACACCUACCCUACAAAGUCAUUAUAAAAAUAAACAGGGACAUCAUCAAAAUCUCAGAGUUACAAGAUGCUGUACAAUUAAUUUAAAACAAUGUGAUUAAACAGGGUUUACAUUUGACAGAGUAAUCUGAAUGCUAAAGGGUUAAUGUAAACUUUUAGAGAAGAACAAUUCUGAUACAAUUUUAUUGUUUUUUUACAUGAUUUUUUUUUUACAGUAUUUGCUGCUACCACCAAGAUCUGCACCCACAGUUGGUUCCACACCCGCAGCUUUUGUACUUGCUGUGGUACUCUCCUACUUGAACAGACGAAAUGGUUUUCUUUGUUGGAUGACACCCUUCCUGUCAAUAGCCCUUCAACAAGGAAUUGGCAAGACACAGAGGUGAGGUGGGGGUGGAUGUUUGCAUCCACUAAAACUAUAGGAAACAGGGUUUACAUCUCUUACUUUAUGUCGCAGUACAAUAGCUGUACAUUAAGAUUUGAACUCAUACACCUUAACCUAACAACCAUUGUGGCUCAUUAAAACAGAAUAAGGGUUGAAAAAAAAAAAAAAAAAAAGCCACAUGCGCAAAAAAAUCCUUGUGGUGGUCUGAACCAUUAAAAAUAAUACAACUAAGUUCAGAAGUUUCGGAUAAGAAGUACAUAUGCAGUGAAAAGACAAUUUAAACAUUUCAAGACUGAUUGUUAGUUUGCGCAAAAAAACAAGGUUGACUUUGGGGAAAUUUGAAAUCAAACAGUUGAUAAAAACACACACACACACACAUAAUAGAAUAUAAGAAAGGAUUUAGGCAUACCCUUGUUUCUAUCAACACAUUUCUGUCACAAAUAAAUAAUGUUCUUUGAAAACAUUUUGCUAAUCUCAGUUAUUUGUACAUUUUCGAGAUAUAACUAAUUCAUUAACACAGAAAAGGCCUGAAAUUUUGGGAGGGGGCAAUUGGUUUUUAAUUUAUUGACCCCGAAAGGAUUAAAGGCAAAGUCAACCUCAGCAGAAUUUGAACUCAGAACGUAAGGACAGAUGAAAUACCUAUUUCUUUACUACCCACAAGGGGCUAAACACAGAGGGGACAAACAAGGACAGACAAACGGAUUAAGUCGAUUACAUUGACCCCAGUGCGCAACUGGU
rnacentral:lncRNA from 1 species